CACUAGCACAAGUGGCCUUGCUUCCGCUGCCGCUCCACAGGCUGCCGCGACUCCCGCCACCUCCGCUUCCCUGUAGUGUCUCUCGCAGACCCGUAGGUCCUCCACUAGCCCUUCCGCCCCCCGAGGGGCACAUUUCCCCGAAACCGUGCGCGCUCUGGGAACGCGAUCCCAGGCGAACUAACAGAGAGUCGGGAUUGGGGGAAGCCAACUUUUCCUCCACUCCAGCCCGGAGAGUGCUGCAACAGGUGCAAACGUCGUGAUUGGACUUAUAACCCAGCAGAGCUGGGGGACUGUGGGCUGUGACCCACGCUUCAAAGUCACACAAAACCUGCUCAGAGUACCUGGUUCCACCACUAGCUGCAAAACUCAGCCAGACACCCAGUUUCUCCAAGGCCAUCCUGUCGUCCUCAGUUCGCGGGUGAUAACCGUUCCUGCCACUUCAGGAUUUGGGGGAAAUUGAUAAGAGUUUAAUGUUGGAAAGGCUUAGGGCGGCACCGGGAAUGUGGUAGGCGCUCUCCUACACAGGGUGGAGGAGUAGAAGGAUAGAAGGCGACCCUCCCCAAAGGGAAGAGUGAGCCUAACUUGAUGGAGAGGGUCUUAGACGCGUGGCCCAGCCUCCGCUGCGCGCUGUAAUUAUCUGGUGAGUGGAAUUAGACACGUUCUUCCUCUCUUUCCUCCAUCAUUUCCCCCCUCUUAUCCUCCCCUUUUAACUGAGAUCCCAAAGAUGGUGGAAUGAAAUGGACAUCCUUAC
rnacentral:lncRNA from 1 species